rnacentral:lncRNA from 1 species
CUCGUUUCCUUUGGGGCAAGCGAACGAAGCAUAUUACAACUAAUACACUCAGACGUUGUUUCCCCCAAAGUUUGCCUGCGCCUCGUCUCACAAAGAGCAUAAUUACCAACAACAUGGUAAAAGGAAGAAAACCCCAGAACCAAUGCCAGUGGAAUGGCGCAGGAGCAGGGAAACUUUUCCACAAAAUUAUUUGUGGUUGCAAACAGAUAUAGACGGAGUAAGGCGCCACAGGCAGCGGCACCAAGACGAGGCACAAGUUUGACAUAAAGAAAAGUUUGCACAAACCGACUUACAGAAAAUUAUAAUUACACGCACAGUCAGCCAAAUAGUC